UACGUAGGGUGCGAGCGUUGUCCGGCAUUAUUGGGCGUCAAGAGCUUGUAGGCGGUCUGUCGCGUCUGCUGUGAAAAUCCGGGGCUCAACCCCGGACUUGCAGUGGGUACGGGCAGACUAGAGUGUGGUAGGGGAGACUGGAAUUCCUGGUGUAGCGGUGAAAUGCGCAGAUAUCAGGAGGAACACCGGUGGCGAAGGCGGGUCUCUGGGCCGUAACUGACGCUGAGGAGCGAAAGCAUGGGGAGCGAACAGG
rnacentral:rRNA from 1 species